GCCAGAAGAGCAGUUCUCCAGGCCCAGAAGUAAGCUACACCCACAAUUCUGUAUGCAGCUGUGAGAAAGGAGAGUGGAAAUCCAAGUCAAUGCAGUAUCACCGUGUUCCCAAUCACGAGUAUUCCACUGGGCCCACUGGCUGCCAAGACAUGGAUGGGAUCCAGUGGUGAGCCUGCCCCAGCACAUGAAACACAUGCUUGGGAAACAGUGCCUGACUGGAUGGAGCCCUCUGGUACCCUCAAAGAGAAGCAACUCGCCUCAUGACGAUGAGCGCCCUGGAAUUCCAUGGAAGACAGCACAAAACCAAUAAAACCACUGGUGUUCAGUUA
ensembl:lncRNA novel transcript